rnacentral:tRNA from 1 species
AGGAGUUUAGGAUAAUAAAAGACCAAGGGCCUUCAAAGCCCUAAGCAAGUAUAAAAUACUUAACCCCUG